AGAGUCCCCGUCAGCACCGCUUACUGCAGGCCAAGAUGCCUCCCACCCUCCAGAAUCCGACCGCGGAGGGAGCUUCCAGUCCAGGAGCCUGCGGGAAUCCUGGCGGGGGCUGAGGGCUGCAGCCCCCCUGGCCUGGGCAUUGGGUGCCUCUUAGGGAUCUUGCCUGGGUGCCCUAAGGGGUCACCCGGUGUCCGUCCUGGAGGGCCGCAGAGUCAGCGCAACCUGCCCUGGUGCUCGGUCCUAAGGUCAGCUCUGCUUCUCCCGAGUGGGGAGGGCGUCACGGUUUGCCUGCAGUGGGAGCGUUCCGUGUCAUUCAGACGAGCAGGUGGGAAGGUCGGCAGGAGUGCAGAGAAGAGACGCGGGAAGCGGGAUGCAGAGAGUUCACCUGUCCGUCUCCGUCCGUGUCCGCGGCCCGGAUCAUCUCGUCCACCUCCUCGUCACUCAGCUUCUCCCCCAGCCGGGUCAUGACGUGUCGCAGCUCGGCGGCGCUGACGAAGCCGUUGCCGUCCUUGUCGAACACGCGGAAGGCCUCGCGGAUCUCCUCCUCGUUGUCCGUGUCCUUCAUCUUCCUGGCCAUCAUGCCCAGGAACUCGGGGAAGUCCACGGUGCCGUUGCCGUCCCGGUCGAUCUCACUCAUCAUGUCCCGCAGCUCGGCCUCCGUGGGGUUCUGGCCCAGGGACCGCAUGACCGUGCCCAGCUCGCGGGUGGUGAUGCAGCCGUCCCCAUCCUUGUCAAACAGGGAGAAGGCCUCCUUGAAUUCUGUGACCUGCUCCUCAGUCAGCUGGUCGGCCAUGCCAGGGGUGGGGGCGUGGGUGGCAGAAGAGGCCACUGUGGGGUCUCCCUCCCAGUGCCGCAGCCCGGCUGCUGUCCCAGCUCUGGGGUGGCAGGUGGAGAUCCGGGCGG
rnacentral:lncRNA from 1 species